rnacentral:lncRNA from 1 species
CUUAAGGGAUGCACCUGGGAACUACCUUAGCUGAGGCACCUAAUAAAGAGACCUCUGAAUGGAGGUGCUUGCCCUAGGAAUGUAGAUAUGUACAAAAAUAUGGCUGGCCCUGGAAGGCAUGAGUCCUUUACUGUAACUCCCUCCGGAGACUGUGAUGCAGUGGCAGCUCCCCCCACAUCACAUCCCAUGAGGCCUGCCUGGUAAAGCCUUGUCAUUGCCUAUGGUCCGGUCUGAAAGUUCACAUGUAGAUUUUAGUUUGGAAGCUGAUUCUCACCUCCCAUUAGAGGCAGGAUUAUUUACCUCUUCUUAGAUUUGGCCAAAUAACUUGCUUUGUUCAACAAGAUAAGUGAAAAAUGAUGAUAGCAGGUAAAGUAAAUGCUUGCUAUUGUAUGCUGCCGAGAUUCUAUGACCCUUGCUUAUAUAGUAACAGUUUGCUGAUACAAUCUCCAUUUUUAAAUUACUCGUUGGAGCUAGGCAAAAGUUACCAAUAGCUGUUAAUAUCACAGAACAAGAGACUUCAUAUGAUGUGCCUCCUCAUAGAAGUAUAUAAUACCACCUAUGAAAUAGCUAUGACAAAAUUCAAGCUUGAAAUGGAUCAUGCCUCUAGUGAUAAUUAAAAAUUUACAGAAAGCAUAUAUAGGUGAUAGAAUGUAUAAAACAAUACUGAAAUCUAAAUUAUGGGAAACUUUGAUGACAAAUGGUCCAGAGGACAAACGGUCCAGUUUGUCCUCAAAGGUGGGGACAGGGGAGAGAGAGGAAGCAAAUAGAUUUUAAAAUACUGAAGGAAAUAUAAAAACCAGUCACCAUGGGCCUGGGAUUUAGCUCAGUGGUUCCACCACCUGCUUCGCAAGUGCUACAUCCCGAGUUCGAUCCCUGGUACCAAAAACAAACAAACAAACAAAACCAGUCACCACAUAGGGCAUUAGAUCCCAAUUAAAACAAAAUGUUUAAAAAUAUGAGACCAUAGGCCGGGGAUUUAGCUCAGUGGUUCCGCUGCCUGCCUUGCAAGCACAAAGUCUCGCUCGAGUUGGAUCCCCAGUACCAAAAAAAAAAAAAAAGAGAGAUAAUAAAGGCUUUUUUAUAUGAACACUGGAUAUUUAGUAUUUUAGGGAAUUAUUGCUAUUUUAGAAAUGAUAAUAGUUUUGUAGUUGCUCUACUUUUUUGCAGCACAACAAAUAGCCCUAGAACUUAGUGGUUUAAAACAGCAGACAUAAAAUUAAAUCUCACAACUUGGUGGACCAGGACAUUGAGCAGGGUUCAGCUCGGUAAUUUUUCUGCUUCAGUGGUACCACUUCAUGGUAUGCACAGAUGGGCAGACAUAGGAGAUCCAUGAUGGCUUUACUUUCAUGUCUGGUGCCUUUGAGAGGAAGACUGGAAGGCUGGGUUCAACUGAGCACUUGCGUGUGACCUGGUCACUGUGGCACUUUCUCGGUUGUCAGAUAUCUUACAUGGAAUCACAGAUUUUCAAAGAACGUGUCCUAAGAGGUCCAGAUGGAAGCUUCAAAGACACUGAAGAACUAACUUUGGAAGUGCCAGAAUGCUGCUUCAGCCUCAUUUUACUAGGCAAGCAACUUGCUAUCGUCAGCUGGGAUUCAAAGUGAGGAGAAUUAGACCACGGAAGAGGCCAUAUGUCAUCUAUCUCAGUGGUUAUCCUUUUAAAAGGAGAUACCUUCUAGAGGUAUGUAUAUCUAUUAAUAAUAACUAAAGUAGUCACAGAUUUAAAAAUAUGUUCUCUGAGAUUUACAUCAAAAUAUUUGAUGGAGGAAAGGGAUAGGGAUCAAUAUAUUCUAUUUUCAUAUAUGUUUGACAUUUUCCAUAAAAAGAAAGUUCCAAAAAAUUAAAGGUUAAAUUGUCUUUUACCUAAAAUCUAUGUAAUGUAAAAGAUGAGACCACCAGAAAUAUAUCUAGUACUAUACAUUAUGUGUAAUAUAUUUUUACUGAUAGCAAAUAUUGUGAGUACCUAAAUAAUUACUAAUAUGGAUAGGUAUUUUGAAACUGAAGGACAAAGUUUCACGUCCUUAAAUUACUAGUGUGCAAAUAUACAUAUAUACAUAUAAUUUUAAUUCACAGACAUCUUAUUCUUGAAAUAUUGGCAGUCAUUUUCAGUGGUCUAUAAAGUACUUUCAGUAUCGAGUACAGUAAAGCCUCAACUGGAUCCUUGGCUAUGUGGUUUAAAAAUAUUUAAAGACUUUUAUUGGUCACAUCCUUCCAGGGAGACAGUCAACUAUUUUUCAGUUAAAAAUUAACAUUCUUUAAUUGCCACAUUUUCCUUGAGGCAUAAUGCAGUGACUGAAUUUUUCCUUUCUGAGAGAUCUGGCGCUUACAAAGUCUCUAAUCAAGCAGAACUAAAAUGAAUAGCUGCAUGAAAACAAAAAUUGCAUAAUAUACACAGCAUUUUCAGUUUCCCUAAGCUCUGUGUAGCCACUCAUUUUCAUAUUCACUAUAUCUCUAUUAUUGAACAAUCUGCAACUCUAAACAAUGUAAUUCUCGUACUCCAUGUGUAAAGAUACAGAGACUAGGCUGCUAACACUUGCAUUAAUAACUAUCUGACCAAAUGUCCAUAUUACUAAGUUGGUAUUGUACCUUAUGUGGCAUUCCAAAUCCACCCAGUACCUGUGUAAUAGCAUUUGAUGCCAAUACUUAUUAUCACACUAGAGUGACUGGGGAUCCCAAGCAGUAGUUGGGGGGAUUCCAGCCCUAUUUGACAAACAUGCAAUGAUUCAAAGGAGAAACAGCAUGAGGAGGAGGCAGAUGGCUUUGGUGUACAUGUACCUACUCUCCUCCUCAUCCCAGCACUACUAGGGCCCUGCAUAGAAGAGUCUUCUUCCUAUAUUCCUUCUAUGUGAUGCUAAAGUAGGAAAAGAAGGGAAUAAAUUAGAACUCAUUUCCACAUAACCUUGAGGAAGCUACUUAUUCUUAGUUUCUUCCUCUAUAGAUUAUAAUCUCUAUCCUAUCUACUACACAGGACUAUUAGGGCCAUCAAUUUUAUGUAAUAGUCUCUGAAACAACUUUGGAAACCUUAUAAUCCUCUAUAAAUAUAUUAUUAGGGGUAGUAUCUUACAUAAAAAUAUGUUUUGGGCAAGAGGUGUAGCUCAGGGCUAGAGUAAAGACUGAGGGGUUCAAUCUUCAGCACAAAAAAAACAAAAACAAAAACAAAAUACUCCCCAAAACAGACAAACAAAAAUCAAGCAAAAAUAAAACUUUUUAAAUUUGUAGUGUAUUCCACCAUUUUCUAAAAUAUAGUCAGAUACCAUCAUUUUUAAAUAGGAAAAAUACUUUGAAUUAUACAGACAUGGAAAUGAUUGCUGGUCAGCUACUCAAUAUGCAUUCUCUCCUUCCAUUACAAUAAAACUAAGAGUUUAUCCACAGUGAUAAUGUGCCCAGUAAAAGGCUAUAUUUCCUGUCCCAUAUUAUAGCUACUCAUGAGUUUAUAAAUAAGUCCAAGAUUCUGAUACCUUAUUUAGGAAUUUGUAGAUAAACAACAAAAGGGUGGUGAAGCCCAACCGACCUCCAAUGCUGCCUGACAAAGUUCCAGCUGGGGGAAAGAAAGGGUGGAACACAUCGUACCCUCAUGUUUUAUUUUUUCUUGCCAUAAUGUUUAUAAUUGUUACUCUGGUCACAGGAGUCACUGUGUUUGUGACUAACAACAAACUCUCCAUGAGGCAAAUUGGCAAUGAUAUAUUGAAAUCUGAUCUGGCUCAAAAGUCCCAAAUUCCAGUUUCUCUUAGUUCUAUUGCCACAUCCACUCCUAAAGAGACCUCUCCUAAAACCCCCUCUGUUUCCCCCACUACUAUGACUCCCCCUCUUAUUGCUGACAUUCUUUUUACUAAAGGGGUCUUAUGAAGAGAUUGAAAGGACAGACUUUAGAUGUAAGAAAUAGUGGAAAAUGGGAAAUAGAACGUUAAGACAGGUAAAGACAUUAAGGAGACAAGUUACUCAAGCUGUAAAUAUCUCCUGCUCAUGGACUAUGAACCUAAAUGACAUUUAGUUAAGAUGAAUAGAGGUAUAGAAAAAUAGAGAGCUAAUAGCAAACUGUAUUAACCACUGUGCAGUUUCUCAAGGGCCAGCUGGUGACCACAAGUUUGACACUUAGUUGAUUAAAUCUUGCUUGUACCCCCGCUGAUAUAAAGAUUUUGAUUAAGUUACUUUCUGUUCUGUUUAGGUAUGGGUAAAUAAGGGGACAGUUGUAAUUUUUAAAUAUGUAUUCAUGAUGUUCAAUGAAAUGAAACAGCUUAGAGGAAUUGUACUUUGUUUAGCAAAAACAUAAACUUUACUUCAAUAGAAAUUGCUAAGGCAAUUUAAAAUGUAAACAUGUUCCGCCCAAUGCCUCCCAGCUAUUGCUUAAAGAUACAAAAAUAAAUCAGACCAUGAGAUUUCUCAGAGGGAACCUGAACAUUGCUUGUGAAGAUUCUUUCUCAUUGCCGGCCCAGGACAUCUCCCCUUCCUUCCUACAUCGACUGCACAUCGACUGCAGCUGGUCUGCGGCAAAAGGACUCAUCACAUAGAGACAAUAAUGGCAAAGCACCAGGAAAUCCCUAGCCAGAAGCAAGAGCCUGAGUCCCCAAAUCACCCCAUGGAAAAAAGUCAUACCCAGCCAGAAACCUCUCAUUUGACAGCUGCAUGAGCAAAAAAUUAUGUUAAGCCACUGUGAUUUUACAUUUUAUUUGUUAGAGCAACAAGAGCUAUUCUAUCAUAGUGACCUAAUCUAAGUAGUAUUCUACCCUAUUGGGUGAAAUGCAAUCACAUAUACACUCAUUAUAUAUACACAGAUACAAAUAAUGUAUAUACACAGAUGCUUUGCUUUUUUAAUGGGACUGUGAAAUCGUACAUCCUUUCUGACAUACAAUUUGACAAUAUAUAUUGAAGCUCUUAUUCAUGCACUUACUUGUGUUUAAUUAUGUGAUUAACUUGACUUAUUCCUAGCAGUUUAACCUGAGUAAACAAUAUGCACUAAGUGCCUAUUUAAAUCCAAUCAUGUUCAAUAUGGCACUUUUUUAUAUGUAAGAUUCAUGAAUUCAUGAAUGAUUAAAAUAUAUUUUGGUACUUUAGACAAUAGAAUCUUUGAAAUAGUUAAAAUAAUAUUACAGAAUAUUGCCACAUGUCAUAGGAAAUGAUAAGGAUAUCUUAUUAAAUUAAGACAGAAAAAUGUAACAGGUAUAAUUUGGCCCAAUUAUUUUUUAAAGUGUAUAUCUUUGUGUCUGUAUGUAUCUUUUUAAUUCUCCAGAAAGACUAAAAGGAAAUACACCAAAACUUACCAAAAAUUAUAUAUAAAUACUAUAAUUAAAAGUGAUUUUAAAAUUCUGUUGAAUGUUCCAAAUUUUCAUCACUGAAUAUACAUUUUUGUUAUAUAAAUUUGGUGUGUAUGUAUAAUAUAUACACACAAUUACAUAUUUAUAUGUAUAUGUAUAUAGUCACAUAUGCACAUUGAAGAGUGAUCCUCCUGUAAAAUAGGCUUUCUUGCAGAGUACAAAAUGAACAUGCCAGGUCCCUGGUGAUUGUAGGGAAAUGUGACAAAGAAGUAGUUCACUGAGAAAUGAAGAGGGAGGAAGGUGUAUCCAGUAGAAGCCAUUCCACUCUAAGUUGAUUCUGAAGAGAACUGCAGAGGGCACUAACAGAACACUAAGUGUUUUUUGAAUUAUAAUUUUUAAAGAUGAGUCCCUAUAGGACUCCCACAGUAAUUCUGGCCUAACAUACACAUAAGUUAUUCCAAUCUUAACCACUAUUUCACAAUACUGCAAAAUCCAUGCCUGCAUCCAACAGACAAAGGUCAUCCUG